rnacentral:rRNA from 1 species
GUGGGGAAUAUUGGACAAUGGGCGAAAGCCUGAUCCAGCCAUGCCGCGUGUGUGAAGAAGGUCUUCGGAUUGUAAAGCACUUUAAGUUGGGAGGAAGGGCAGUAAGUUAAUACCUUGCUGUUUUGACGUUACCGACAGAAUAAGCACCGGCUAACUUCGUGCCAGCAGCCGCGGUAAUACGAAGGGUGCAAGCGUUAAUCGGAAUUACUGGGCGUAAAGCGAGCGUAGGUGGUUUUGUAAGUUGGAGGUGAAAUCCCCGGGCUCAACCUGGGAACUGCCUCCAAAACUGCAUGACUAGAGUACGGUAGAGGGUAGUGGAAUUUCCUGUGUAGCGGUGAAAUGCGUAGAUAUAGGAAGGAACACCAGUGGCGAAGGCGACUACCUGGACUGAUACUGACACUGAGGUGCGAAAGCGUGGGGAGCAAACAGGAUUAGAUACCCUAGUAGUCC